rnacentral:rRNA from 1 species
CGGGUAGACCUCCCACCCUUGAAUACCUUACCUUUGUUGCUUUGGCGGGCCGCCUUGGCCACCGGCCCCGGCUGGUGAGUGCCCGCCAGAGGACCCCAAACUCUGAAAUUUUGUGUCGUCUGAGUACUAUAUAAUAGUUAAAACUUUCAACAACGGAUCUCUUGGUUCUGGCAUCGAUGAAGAACGCAGCGAAAUGCGAUAAGUAAUGUGAAUUGCAGAAUUCAGUGAAUCAUCGAAUCUUUGAACGCACAUUGCGCCCCCUGGUAUUCCGGGGGGCAUGCCUGUUCGAGCGUCAUAAUAACCCUCAAGCCUAGCUUGUUGUUGGGGCCUACCAGCCGGUAGCCCUUAAAAGCAGUGGCGGUGCCGUCUGGCCCUGAGCGUAGUAAUUCUUCUCGCUAUAGGUCCAGGUGGUUGCUAGCCAACAACCCAACUUUUCUUAUGUUUGACCUCGGAUCAGGUAGGGAUACCCGCUGAACUUAAGCAUAUCAAUAAGCGGAGGAA